UUCCGAGGUCAACUUACUAUAAUGACUGGACUAUAAGUACGCCACGGAUAUCGGCGAGCAGUUACGUACGCUCAGCUGGCGGCCGCCAAUCACAUUUCACAUCGUGGAGGCUGCCCGUGCGCGAUAUCGUUAAACAUUGACACGUCUUGCUAAUCGCGUACACGCGAAAACUAUCACUUUCGCCACAGUUCCAAAGCAAUUGUAACUCGAGGACCACCUCACAACGGCUCUUCAAGACUAUUUAUCGGUGUCGACUUUUGGGGUACCGUUCUAGAAUUUAUUUGAAAUAUAAUCUGUGCAGAGGUAUAGUUUUAUAUGCUUGGAUAAAGGUAUCCAUUUGAAGAUUACUGGAUAAAGCCACAAUUGUACGAAGUAAUAAAAAAACACAAAGGAGACCAAGAGAUUGAAAAAAUUUGUGCUAUAGACAAAAGACGUAUUGCGGAGAAAAUUGUUAGUCAAACUACAAGUGAAAUAUCUUCAAUAACUGAAGCAGCGUUUAGUACCAUAACUUCGGAGGAUUGGAUUAAUGUGUCGAAGACCAAUAUUUUGUAUCCAACAGGCUCUUGGAUAUAGAAUUAGUCUUUAGAAUUGAUCCUACAAGUGACGAUGGUUGCUCAGACUCUUCGGACGACGAAAUGAUCGAAGAUUCAAACAAUACAAUGGAUGGCAUUGACGCCCUUGAAGUUAUCCAAAAUUUAAAAGUUCUGUUAGAUGCCAAAUAAAAAAAUUCUAAAUAUA